AUUGAACGCUGGCGGCAUGCCUUACACAUGCAAAUCGAACGGUAACGGGCCUUCGGGUGCCGACGAGUGGCGAACGGGUGAGUAAUACAUCGGAACGUGCCCGAUCGUGGGGGAUAACGAGGCGAAAGCUUUGCUAAUACCGCAUACGAUCUACGGAUGAAAGCAGGGGACCGCAAGGCCUUGCGCGGACGGAGCGGCCGAUGGCAGAUUAGGUAGUUGGUGGGAUAAAAGCUUACCAAGCCGACGAUCUGUAGCUGGUCUGAGAGGAUGAUCAGCCACACUGGGACUGAGACACGGCCCAGACUCCUACGGGAGGCAGCAGUGGGGAAUUUUGGACAAUGGGCGCAAGCCUGAUCCAGCCAUGCCGCGUGCAGGAUGAAGGCCUUCGGGUUGUAAACUGAUUUUGUACGGAACGAAAAGCCUUCUUCUAAUACAGGAGGGUCAUGACGGUACCGUAAGAAUAAGCACCGGCUAACUACGUG
rnacentral:rRNA from 1 species